UAUGAAUUUAGGUUUUCUUAGUUGAAAUUAAUAGGGAAAAAGGUGAAAAUCCUUUACAGUUCCCGCUACUGUAAUAUAGACGAAACCAUGGACCACUGUACUUUACGGGAAGGUCGGGAGUAGGAUGAAGUUAAGUCAGGAGACCUGCCUAAAUGA
rnacentral:ncRNA from 1 species